GCGGGUGUAGCAUAGUGGUAAUGCCCUGGCCUUCCAAGCCAGUCAGGUGGGUUCGAUUCCCAUCACCCGCUCCA
rnacentral:tRNA from 1 species